GACAGAGGCCACGAGCGUUGUUCGGAAUCACUGGGCAUAAAGCGCACGUAGGCGGCUAGGUCCGUCCAAUGUGAAAGCCCCCGGCUCAACCGGGGAAUUGCAUCGGAUACAGCCUGGCUUGAGGACGGUUGGGGUGAGUGGAACUCCUGGUGGAGCGGUGAAAUGCGUAGAUAUCAGGAGGAACACCGGUGGCGAGAGCGGCUCACUGGACCGUUACUGACGCUGAGGUGCGAAAGCUUGGGGAGCGAACAGG
rnacentral:rRNA from 1 species